rnacentral:rRNA from 1 species
UGGCGGACGGGUGAGUAACACGUGAGCAACCUGCCUUUCAGAGUGGAAUAACGUUUGGAAACGAACGCUAAUACCGCAUAAUGUCAGAGGAUGGCAUCGUUCUUUGACCAAAGAUUUAUCGCUGAAAGAUGGGCUCGCGGCCGAUUAGGUAGUUGGUGAGAUAAUAGCCCACCAAGCCGACGAUCGGUAGCCGGACUGAGAGGUUGAACGGCCACAUUGGGACUGAGACACGGCCCAGACUCCUACGGGAGGCAGCAGUGGGGGAUAUUGCACAAUGGGGGAAACCCUGAUGCAGCGACGCCGCGUGAGGGAAGACGGCCUUCGGGUUGUAAACCUCUGUCUUCGGGGACGAAUAAAUGACGGUACCCGAGGAGGAAGCCACGGCUAACUACGUGCCAGCAGCCGCGGUAAUACGUAGGUGGCAAGCGUUGUCCGGAAUUACUGGGUGUAAAGGGAGCGUAGGCGGGGAGGCAAGUUGAAUGUCUAAACUAUCGGCUCAACUGAUAGUCGCGUUCAAAACUGCCACUCUUGAGUGCAGUAGAGGUAGGCGGAAUUCCUAAUGUUAGCGGUGAAAUGCGUAGAUAUUAGGAGGAACACCAGUGGCGAAGGCGGCCUACUGGGCUGUAACUGACGCUGAGGCUCGAAAGCGUGGGUAGCAAACAGGAUUAGAUACCCUGGUAGUCCACGCCG